GAUGAACGCUAGCUACAGGCUUAACACAUGCAAGUCGAGGGGAAACGAUAUUGGAAGCUUGCUUCCGAUAGGCGUCGACCGGCGCACGGGUGAGUAACGCGUAUCCAACCUGCCCAUCACUUGGGGAUAACCUUGCGAAAGUAAGACUAAUACCCAAUGAUAUCUCUAGAAGACAUCUGAAAGAGAUUAAAAGAUUUAUCGGUGAUGGAUGGGGAUGCGUCUGAUUAGCUUGUUGGCGGGGUAACGGCCCACCAAGGCGACGAUCAGUAGGGUUCUGAGAGGAAGGUCCCCCACAUUGGAACUGAGACACGGUCCAAACUCCUACGGGAGGCAGCAGUGAGGAAUAUUGGUCAAUGGGCGAGAGCCUGAACCAGCCAAGUAGCGUGCAGGAUGACGGCCCUAUGGGUUGUAAACUGCUUUUAUAAGGGAAUAAAGUGAGUCUCGUGAGACUUUUUGCAUGUACCUUAUGAAUAAGGACCGGCUAAUUCCGUGCCAGCAGCCGCGGU
rnacentral:rRNA from 1 species